AUGACGCUGGCGGCAGGCCUACACAUGCAAGUCGAACGGUAACAGGAAGCAGCUUGCUGCUUCGCUGACGAGUGGCGGACGGGUGAGUAAUGUCUGGGAAACUGCCUGAUGGAGGGGGAUAACUACUGGAAACGGUAGCUAAUACCGCAUAACGUCGCAAGACCAAAGAGGGGGACCUUCGGGCCUCUUGCCAUCGGAUGUGCCCAGAUGGGAUUAGCUAGUAGGUGGGGUAACGGCUCACCUAGGCGACGAUCCCUAGCUGGUCUGAGAGGAUGACCAGCCACACUGGAACUGAGACACGGUCCAGACUCCUACGGGAGGCAGCAGUGGGGAAUAUUGCACAAUGGGCGCAAGCCUGAUGCAGCCAUGCCGCGUGUAUGAAGAAGGCCUUCGGGUUGUAAAGUACUUUCAGCGGGGAGGAAGGCGAUAAGGUUAAUAACCUUGUCGAUUGACGUUACCCGCAGAAGAAGCACCGGCUAAAUCUGUGCACGCCGUGGCGGUAAUAAAGUGUGUUGUUAUUUGUUUAUUUGGAAUUUCAUUGGACUUUAGCGAAUGUGGGCUGGUUUAGAGUAGGAGAGUAUAAUAAAGUAUUUACGUUUGUUCCAGUGGUAACGACCCAAAGGCGUCACGUCUUUUUUUCGUCUUGUCUUGUUGUUUGCGUGUAUGUUCCUGCGUGAGCUCAUCAAAGUGUAUACCGUUACUUCACUGUCAGUGAUGCUGAUGUCAACGUCGCGACGAACGUGCAGCAUCCACCAUCCUCUGAUGUAGUGUCGACAAACAGAUCAUGCUAUGCGAACACUGCUAUCGAGUACUACUAUACUACGAUGCUGUAUGACGCUAGAAAAAGAGACGCGUGUUCACGAUUAUGACUCAUGAUGAUGACGUCACUGACAGGGGACAUCAGCCGUCAAUCGAAUCGAAUAAUCGCCAUCAGACGAAUGAGAGAUAUGAGUCAGCACUGACCACGAGUAAUAAUAAUAAAAAUUCGUCAAUUAAUCAAGCGGAAGGUAUUCAAUGGAGAAUAUUACUGCUUUCUCCCAUAGACUUAUUGACUACUCACAGUUGGUCUGCCCUCAGCAAGUUUAGUCUUUCUUUGCUUAACAAUAAUUAUAAAAAAAUAAACCGAGUUACACCCCCAUAAUCUAUGAGUUCAAGAGGUUUAAUUUUGAUGCCAAUUGCCAAGAACCUUACUUUCUUUUACAUCCCGCACCUUUGCAGAGAUCGCAUUGGUGCCUUCGGGAACUCUGAGACACGUUCCUGCAUGGCUGUCGUCAGCUCGUGUUGUGAAAUGUUGGGUUAAGUCCCGCAACGAGCGCAACCCAUAUCCUUUCUUUCCAGCGGUCCGGCCGGGAACUCAAAGGAGACUGCCAGUGAUAAACUGGAGGAAGGUGGGGAUGACGUCAAGUCAUCAUGGCCCUUACGAGUAGGGCUACACACGUGCUACAAUGGCGCAUACAAAGAGAAGCGACCUCGCGAGAGCAAGCGGACCUCAUAAAGUGCGUCGUAGUCCGGAUUGGAGUCUGCAACUCGACUCCAUGAAGUCGGAAUCGCUAGUAAUCGUGGAUCAGAAUGCCACGGUGAAUACGUUCCCGGGCCUUGUACACACCGCCCGUCACACCAUGGGAGUGGGUGCAAAAGAAGUAGGUAGCUAACCUUCGGGAGGGCGCUACCACUUG
rnacentral:rRNA from 1 species